rnacentral:lncRNA from 1 species
CUUUUUUUCUUAACGUGUGCUUUCACUCAAAGAAAAAAAAAAGCAACAAAAACCCCACAACUUCUAAACCAGUUCCUGAAAUAGACCCAGAGAGAAAAGGAAACCAUAGCAUGCUAUGCAGCCUUUCUCGAGGGAGCAAUUAUAACCUAGAGAAAAAGACUCAGCUAGUGCAUGGCUCCUGGAAACGGGGCUGAGUGCAAAGGCAUCUUCCCCUCCUGCCUCCCAACAACCACAGAUGUAGUCAUAGCCAGAGCUGGGUUCACCCAAAAAUAAGUGUACCAAGACCUUAUGGAGAUGGGAGUAUUAGGGUCGUCAGAUGAAUUUGGACAACCAUCAGCCCAGGCCACUUGGAGAUAGGAGUGGAAUCUUGAUGCCAACCAACACCUAUUUUUCUAACAUUCACCCUAUAAAGCACUGACAGUCUAUGCUGCAAGCACUGUGCUGGGCGCUGGUGGGGUAGCUGGAAAUAUAACCAGUGCUCCAGUGUCAGCUGUCACCACUCACUUAUAUGCCGUAGCUAUGCCCUAGUCACAUGAGGCUCCUCCAGCUUUCAGAGCUCAAUUGCCCUCAUUUGAUCCUUCAGGCUUUGCAUAUGUUGUCCUGUCAAUCAGCUUCUUCCUGACUGCCUUCUUCACCUUCUAGCACGUCCUUCCUCUGCUUGUUCCCUGACCCACCUCUGCAGAUAGCUAUGUGACCCGCCUGUGUGUUCUCAGAGCAGCAGUGCUUCUCCUUAUGAAGAGACUGCAUCACACAAUAUGGAGUAUUCUGUUUGUCUCUCUCCCCGACUGGACUGCAGGAUCCAUAAGAACAAAGAUGUUCUUCAUUUCUUUACCUGUGUUCUGUGGUACCUAGCAUGGUGCAUAGUGCUUAGGAGGUGAUUAUCACUUGAUUACUGUUUGAUUAAGAAGUUAACUCCAGAAAUGAAAUUUCUUAUUCUGAAUAGGUUAUGGAGACAUCAGACCUACUAGUAUCUAUGAGACUUUGGUCCAAAUCUCAGUUUCAUCAGCUAUGAAUUGGGAAUAGUCACAGCUGUUACGGUUGGUAGAAAACUCUCUGGAUAAAAUGUAUAUAAGACCCCUGGCAUCUGGAACAGAGCAGGAGCUCAGCGGUAGUGAUUAGAGCUAGUGUAAAAGAACAUUUGUCGAUGAUGCUUAAAUUCCCACUGGGAGACUAGAUGCUUUUAGCUUCCAUUUAUGGAGUAAAUAUUCUCAUUGGCAAUACUAGCCUUUUUACACCUCACCUUAAAGCUUUUUCUAAAUUUUCCUCUAACCACAUUAUUACUUCCUCUGUCAAGUUUUCUAAACUCACCACUUAGCUGCCAGAGAGCCCUGGAGUGAGAAUUGGGAACAGUACUUUGGUGACGUAAGUUCACAGCUCAGGCUCUGGAGUCGCGCUGUCUGAAGAUGAGUUCUGGCAAGCUGUCAUCUUUCUCUGUGCCCCAGUUUCCUCAUCUGCGAAGUGGGUAUCAUGACGCGUUGGUUGGUUCCUCUGGGGAGAGAUGCCUGCUCUAGAGGGUUACCACCUCCUUCCUUCCACAGCCCACGCUCGUCCCCCUCACAGCUGCCUGUUCUUUGCUCAGGAAUGCACGAGGGACUGCUUCUGUCUUCCAGGUGUCCAGAGACACCCAGGAAGUCUGGCAUCUAAGUUUAGUGAAAACCAAGGCAUCAGCAGAGGAUGGACAAUGGCUGGCAGAGAUAUAACAGAGCUUAUUCAAUUGUAAGAGAGACGAUUGAACUAAAGUGUCUAAUCCCCAGACUCUAUUAUUACAGCAGGUCUUUGAAUCGCAUUGUCUCAUUCCAUGUCUUUUCAUUAUAACAAUGAUGAGAAAAAGAUUGCUUCCUGGAAGGGCCACUGUCUGUGUGGUGUUUGCACAUUCUCCUGGUGUUGGUGGGGUUUUCUCAGGGUCUUUUGGUUUCCUCCCACAUCCUACAGCUGUGCAUAUUAGGUGGAUAGGCAUGUGUACAAGGCCCCAGUCUGAGUGAGUGUGGGGGUGAGUGUGAGCAGCCCUGCCUCUGGGUGGUGUCGUGUCCAGGACUGACUCCCACCUGGCGCCCUGAGCUGCUGGGAGAUGCUCCAGCCACCUGUGACCCUGAACUAGAAUAACUGGGUUGGAAAAUGAAUGAAUGUAUACAAAUUACUGUCAAAUAAAAUGUUGUAAAGUCUAAAGUAAUCAUCCAAAUGCAUGACAAUAAACCAUGAGGUAUGAAAGUGCUCAGCAAGCCCGCCAUCUUUCUAAUAGUUUGUUUUAGAACUUGGUGGUAGUAGGAGAUGCCCUAACAAUUUUCACUGCAGAAACGUUUAUUCCUUGAUUUAAUUCACCACCAUUGUGACCACUGUCACUCACUGAUUCACCAAAGACUGGGUAAAUAUUAUCUUACUGUUUUUAUUAAUCUUUCUUAAAUGUAUAUGCUCACACGCAUCUCAAAGUUUAAUAGUAGAACUGUUUUGGAUCUUUAUUUGGAAGUUUGGUGAUUUUUUUUUUGUGACCAGCAACAUGCGGUUGAAAUUUACCUCUUAUUUAUAUCAUUUAGCCUAUGGUAAAAUUGGUUUUGUUAUACAUCGUUUCACUUAAAGUCACGGCUUUCAAGAACCUAUUGAUGAUGUUAAGAGAGGGCUUACUGCACAUUCUAGGACGGCAAAUUGCUAAGCAAACAGUGGAUGUACAGCUCCCAGAAGUGCGGCCCAGAAUAACAUGACUUCAGAUGUAGGGGAGAGCUUGGAGUUUAUCUAGUCCAGUGGUUCUUAGCUGAGGGUGAUUUAGAAUUACCAGGGACCUGACUCCCUUGAGAAUCCUGGUGCAGGAGGUCUGGGGAAAGGAUAAAGCAUGGGUAUUUUUAAAAAUGCAUCAGGCAAUUCUGUCAGAUACUUUCUGACCUAGUCCACUCUCCUCCUCUCUGACCACAGUCUCUGACCUGUCAGCCUCCUUUCUCUAGGGAGCAAUUAUAACCCAGAGAAAAAUAAGCUGAAAGCAGGAGACUUCCAGAAACAUGUCUGGGCACAGGUGCCACCCACGUGUGGGUUUGCAUUGGGUGGCAACCCAUCUUUUGCAGCAGGGAGCUCACCAGCUGUGAAUUCUUCUGCUUGAUGGUAGUGGAGUGGAUGUGGAUCCCAUCUCUCCACCCUGCUGGGGAGACUGGAAGGGAGCAGCCUUCUAGAAACUCCACCACUGCAUGCCGGGAUAAGUUUCCAUAAUGAAGCUCUCUCAAGCACAAAAUGUGCAUCUAAUGGAAUGCCAUUUAUCAGGGCAGCAAUUCACAUGUACGCACAAAACCUUUACUUUAUUGCUUUAUAUCAUGAAUUACAACUAUAUCUAAAGAUUGAAGACUCUAGUUAACCCUCUAAUCCUAACUCCAGGGAUUAAUAUUGGGCAUUAAUUCUAACUCUGUCUUCUGAUACUAAUUCUAGCUGUUGAUUCCUUGAGUGCUAAUAGGAAAUGCCAGAAUUUAUUCUAUGGAUUAUUCUCAGUUUUAGCCCCAUCAUUCCAAGACAUGUUUGGAUUAUUUUGAAGUGGUCAUGUGGAUGGGUUUAACCUCAGACCUAGAGGGGAGAAAUAUACUGCUUAGCAGUUCAAAGGCGAAUAAAGGUUGGCAAGAUUAAUCACAGUGUGGAUUCUGUACUAUUUCAAAACUGAAUAGGAGGUUUGGGAAAUUGUGGCUGGAAAACCAGACUUUCCAGGUUGUCUUCCAUCAAGUGAUCACUGAUGUAUUUAUUUCUCUGAUUAAUGAACUUUGCAAAUUAACCUCCACACUACUCUGUAAUUGCGAUUAAGGUUUCAAAAAAUCACUUAAGCGUGUGUUUCCACCACUCCUGAGUCCAUUCCAGCCGGAUGGCCUGCUCACUGUGCUGAUUUCACAAAGAUAGUGCCAGUCCCCUGACCUCUGAAUUUACAAUUAUUGCAUUCAGCACCCAAAUUACCCCCAGUCUCCAUGUGCCUGGCUUUAUCUCUCUGCACACACAGGCCUGGCUUUUAAUUAAAGGCCCUCAAAUUAAAUGAAAACAAAUUCAAUUAUUACAUCUCAUUGGAGCAGCUCACAGCAUAUCCUGACAGCAUUUAUCCAAUGGGCAACCCAGGGAAAGCUCGGCUCCUACAACUUAAGUUAAUGUGCCCAGUAAAUGAUUUUUCUUAUCAUUGCUUGAACAGACUUUUUGCCACUGGGUCAGCCCUAGCUGUGGUCUUUGCUGUCUCUGAAAAAAACUACAGCUUAACACAGUUUCUCUUUUCUCUAUCUUUUCUGGUCUCUGCCUGGUUCUUAUUCUCCCUUUCUGCAUGGAAGGAGAAUGGUCUCAUGGUCUGUUCCCACUGAGGAUGGAAGAUAAUUACCCUCCAAUCUCUGCAGGUUUGGAGGUGCAGCUCAGAUAUGCACCCCUUAAAUUUAGAUCCUUAUCCAAAGCUCUUAGGGCUAUCCAGGGGACUGUGUGUAUGUUCUUGACUCUCCAAGCUGCCCGAAGUUUAGAGAAAUGUGCACUGAAUUGCGAUUAUUGUUAUGAUAGAUCAUAACAAUAAUCAUAAUAAUAGUAUGUUUAUUGAGGACUGUAAUGUGCUAGGCAGUGCAAACAGCAUGCAAUUAGACACAGUCCGUACCCAGUGGACCGACUGAUUACACAAGUGGAAGCAAGGCAAGACCCAGACAAAAGGAGCAAUAGAAACAAACUGAAGGGAGAGCUGGGAAGGGAGAAAACAAUUUCUUUUUUGAUAAGUGGCCAGCGGAGGUCAUGCCUCUACCUUGCCUG